CCUCCUCAUAAUCUUCCCCUGAUUUUCAGCCUUACCCAACGGAGUCUGUGGAACAAAGGUUCCGUCGAACUCAACUGUCCCGGGGCUGUGAGGAUAUCUACCCUUCAGAGGACUUGUGCUCUUCAAUCAGACCAGAGCUCCACCCCAAAGGAUGCUCUGUUGAUGAAAACAGAAGUAUAAAGGCUGUAUCAAGGGAUCUGAAAUGCAGCAUUGGGGUCGCUGCAGCCAAGGUAUCUGGUGAAUUGGUCUGUGCAGUUCAGGUCUUCUUAGAGCCAUCAACAAUGACACCCCGGAGGUAUAUAUUAUUACUGUACUUUUCCCUUGCUCCUCUCGAUUUUUACUGUGGCUUUCUCUACUACUGUAGAUUGAGAGGAAAUGAUGCUUAUUUUCCUCUGCAUGAUUUGCCGUAUCUCAAGGCAGCUGGAAAUCAAAAUUAUCAUAGUUUCAAACUUUACUGCCCAGGCAAUGAAGGAUAAUUUCAGUGAAUAAUCCUGAUGGAUGCACUGCUGCAAUAUAGUUAAGACUCCAUCAACAUCUAUUUUUGACUCUCCCUUUGAGGAAGGACAGAGCUUACUGAGCAAGAACUUUUCUAGCUUUAGCCAAUCAGCUGAGAACUCCAGCCUCUUCCCGUUACUAUGGGAUACAGAGGAGAUGGAUGUAGUCACAUGCCUUCAGCAUAAGACUACAGUUGAA